UACGUAGGGUGCGAGCGUUAAUCGGAAUUACCGGGCGUAAAGUGUGCGCAGGCGGCUUCGCAAGUCGAGUGUGAAAUCCCCCGAGCUUAACUUGGGAAUUGCGCUCGAAACUACGGAGCUGGAGUGUGGCAGAGGAAGGUGGAAUUCCACGUGUAGCGGUGAAAUGCGUAGAGAUGUGGAGGAACACCGAUGGCGAAGGCAGCCUUCUGGGCCAACACUGACGCUCAUGCACGAAAGCGUGGGGAGCAAACAGG
rnacentral:rRNA from 1 species